AUCAACCUUUCUUGGCCAAUAUUGGAGCGACGAUCUAAGGUAUUGGACCGUAUUGCGGCAGAAUUGAGAAAAAAAAAUCUUGAACAUAAUAGAGGGUACUAAAGAUUAUUUCAUUAGAUUUAGAGAGAGAGAGAGAGAGAGAGAGAGAGACUUAGCGGUGCUAAUUUAGGUUCUCCUAAGAGCGUGGGUAGUUUUCAGCUUUCCAGAACUUUGGUAUCAAGUUGCAGGGAAGACGAAAGCAAUGGAAAUAGAAGCCGUGCUUUCGAAAGACUCUGGGUUUUUCUGAAAGUGAGAUUCUCAUGGCAUUAAGGAGGUAUCUUUGGUUUAUGAAACUGUCUGAGAAGAACAUUAUGAGCCAUUUGAUUUCUUUGUUAACAAAAUGGGUUGAGAACAGGCAGUUAUCAUCACAUACCGGCAACUUAUUGGGCAUAGCUUGGAGAAGAGGAUUAUUCCGAGGUGUGCAGUUUACUGAGUACUAAUAUUGAAAGGUCUAGUGAAGGAGGAUCUUAAAAUGGAAACUCUGGUGAAAAAAUGUGAGAAGCAUCUUUUGGAGAAGUUUGUGAUCAACUAUGAGAAAGAAGUUCCUCAUCUCUUGGAUAUAUACAAAGGAAAUACAAGUCUGCUAUGACUAGGAUAUGUCACUAAGUGUGUUGAAAGAACCUAUUGUAAAAUACUCAAAUUUUUUUAUUUUGACAAAUGGAUCUAAAUGUUUCUUUGUGUUA